GAGUUUGAUUCUGGCUCAGGACGAACGCUGGCGGCGUGCCUAACACAUGCAAGUCGAACGGAGAUUUUAUUUCGGUAAAAUCUUAGUGGCGAACGGGUGAGUAACGCGUAGGCAACCUGCCCCACAGCCGGGGACAACUUUCCGAAAGGGAGGCUAAUACCGGAUACGAACGAGGUAUCGCAUGAUACGUGGUUGAAAGAUGGCCUCUGCAAGCAAGCUAUCGCUGAGGGAUGGGCCUGCGUCCGAUUAGCUGGUUGGUGAGGUAAGGGCUCACCAAGGCGACGAUCGGUAGCCGGUCUGAGAGGAUGAACGGCCACAUUGGGACUGAGACACGGCCCAGACUCCUACGGGAGGCAGCAGUGGGGAAUCUUCCGCAAUGGACGCAAGUCUGACGGAGCAACGCCGCGUGAGGGAGGAAGUUUUUCGGAACGUAAACCUCUGUUGUUCAUGACGAACGAGCUUUUUAUCAACAACGAAGAGCAAUGACGGCA
rnacentral:rRNA from 1 species